AAGAAUGAAAUGGAAAGGAAAGAAACAAAAGUGAGCAGGAAUAUAGGAGUGAGCAAGAGGGCCGAGGUGUCAAUGUCUUGAUGAAUGACGUCUGUGGAGACCAGAUCACCUUGGGUCACAAUGAAUCUGUUAUAAUCUACAGCAAUAACGAUCGGCAAUCUAGGUCAUGUAAGCUAAAAUGUGAAGGCACCUCAAAGCUCCGAGAUCGGCUUUUCCUGUGUAUCAUUCAACAUCUUCAGUGGCAGCUGCAAAACGGAAUCUUUAGAGGUUAUCUAUAAAGUCAAUUCAGAAAAGACCAGGUACGGUGCUA